UCAACAGCAAUGACGAUUUUAAAUAGCUUCAUAAUAAUAAGCAGUCAUCUGUAUAUGAAGGGCUCUGCUGCGACUGCGAGGGCAGCAACAGCGCCUCCCUAGAGCAUGCGAUGUCCGAAAAGCGCAACGACACAUUGUAGUCGAAAUACCCCAGCUCGAGGGGGCCCCCCUUUCCCAUGCAUUAGCGCGACAGCGUCAAGUGCAAGUGAAAAGUGAAAAAUUAAAAUGAAGCGAAAUUAUCUCUCCGGCAAUCAAAAAAAGAAGAAGAAAAGGGAAGAGGAGCAGAAAAGAAAACAAGACACCGGGGCAUUGCUGAAAUUUCUUCAUCCCGCUCUACCAAGUGUUGUCUCUGGUGCUACUGAAGGGCCAUCAACAUCGUCUUCGUCACAUGUUUAUGAGGAGG